rnacentral:rRNA from 1 species
GUGGACGCCAGUCUGCAUGGAGCCGACCUUGAAAUACCACCCUUUAAUGUUUGAUGUUCUAACGUGGACCCGUGAUCCGGGUUGCGGACAGUGUCUGGUGGGUAGUUUGACUGGGGCGGUCUCCUCCUAAAGAGUAACGGAGGAGCACGAAGGUUGGCUAAUCCUGGUCGGACAUCAGGAGGUUAGUGCAAUGGCAUAAGCCAGCUUGACUGCGAGCGUGACGGCGCGAGCAGGUGCGAAAGCAGGUCAUAGUGAUCCGGUGGUUCUGAAUGGAAGGGCCAUCGCUCAACGGAUAAAAGGUACUCCGGGGAUAACAGGCUGAUACCGCCCAAGAGUUCAUAUCGACGGCGGUGUUUGGCACCUCGAUGUCGGCUCAUCACAUCCUGGGGCUGAAGUAGGUCCCAAGGGUAUGGCUGUUCGCCAUUUAAAGUGGUACGCGAGCUGGGUUUAGAACGUCGUGAGACAGUUCGGUCCCUAUCUGCCGUGGGCGCUGGAGAACUGAGGGGGGCUGCUCCUAGUACGAGAGGACCGGAGUGGACGCAUCACUGGUGUUCGGGUUGUCAUGCCAAUGGCACUGCCCGGUAGCUAAAUGCGGAAGAGAUAAGUGCUGAAAGCAUCUAAGCACGAAACUUGCCCCGAGAUGAGUUCUCCCUGAGACUUAGAGUCUCCUGAAGGAACGUUGAAGACGACGACGUUGAUAGGCCGGGUGUGUAAGCGCAGCGAUGCGUUGAGCUAACCGGUACUA